GGAGAAGGGCUGUAGCUCAGUCAUAGAACUUCUGUGUUGCAUUCAGAAGGUCCAAGGUUCAAUCCCUGGCUUCUCCA